CGGCUAACACAGGCGCAGGUCAACAGAAGGGCAGGUUAAAGCCUGCACUUUAUAAGCACGCUUUUGGCGUGUUUUUGUUUUCCUGUGGACCUGCAGCUGUAGUGUGCCGCCCUGGCGUGUGCGGCAGCGCGGUUGCGGCAAGUGCACGACAGGUAUUACUAACUUCGCACGUUAUCGCUGCAACCGAUACCCAUAAUUUUGCUA
rnacentral:lncRNA from 1 species